UAUACAUGCAGUCGAACGAGAUCUUCGGAUCUAGUGGCGCACGGGUGCGUAACGCGUGGGAAUCUACCCUUGGGUUCGGAAUAACUUCGGGAAACUGAAGCUAAUACCGGAUGAUGUCGAAAGACCAAAGAUUUAUCGCCCAGGGAUGAGCCCGCGUAGGAUUAGCUAGUUGGUGGGGUAAAGGCUCACCAAGGCAACGAUCCUUAGCUGGUCUGAGAGGAUGAUCAGCCACACUGGGACUGAGACACGGCCCAGACUCCUACGGGAGGCAGCAGUAGGGAAUAUUGGACAAUGGGCGCAAGCCUGAUCCAGCAAUGCCGCGUGAGUGAUGAAGGCCUUAGGGUUGUAAAGCUCUUUUACCCGAGAUGAUAAUGACAGUAUCGGGAGAAUAAGCUCCGGCUAACUCCGUGCCAGCAGCCGCGGUAAUACGGAGGGAGCUAGCGUUGUUCGGAAUUACUGGGCGU
rnacentral:rRNA from 1 species